rnacentral:rRNA from 1 species
GAGGAAUAUUGGUCAAUGGACGGAAGUCUGAACCAGCCAUGCCGCGUGAAGGAUGAAGGCGUUCUGCGUUGUAAACUUCUUUUAUUUAGGAAGAAACCACCGAUUUCUAUUGGUGUUGACGGUAUUAAAUGAAUAAGCACCGGCUAACUCCGUGCCAGCAGCCGCGGUAAUACGGAGGGUGCGAGCGUUAUCCGGAUUUACUGGGUUUAAAGGGUGCGCAGGCGGUCUUAUAAGUCCGGGGUGAAAUACUACAGCUCAACUGUAGAACUGCCUUGGAUACUAUAGGACUUGAAUCGAGUAUAGGUCAGCGGAAUACAACAUGUAGCGGUGAAAUGCAUAGAUAUGUUGUGGAACACCGAUUGCGAAGGCAGCUGACUGGGCUUGUAUUGACGCUCAGGCACGAAAGCGUGGGUAGCGAAC